rnacentral:misc_RNA from 1 species
UCAAACUUGGUCAUUUAGAGGAAGUAAAAGUCGUAACAAGGUUUCCGUAGGUGAACCUUCGGAAGGAUCAUUACCGUAACGCGGCCGCCCAAUCGGGGGGCCACACGCGUUUGACACCCUUGACUUUUGAGCACCGUUUUGUUUCCUCGGCGGGGACGCCCGCCAGCGAGGACCCCCAUGAACCCUUUGCAGUAGCAGUAUUUGUCUGAAAAACAACGUAAUCGUUAAAACUUUCAACAAUGGAUCUCUUGGUUCUGGCAUCGAUGAAGAACGCAGC